AUUUUGGAGUCGGGCAGCGGCGACGGCGGCCGGGUCCGGCCGGGGAAAGGGAGGAGCCAGUCAGGUCUGGCUGUCAUCCGUCUUUCUCCCAGCCCCAUAGCACCAGUCCACAGAAUCAAAGCCACUUGUCAAAUUGAUGAUCCCGACAUGGACAGAGAACCGCUCCAGAUUAAGCCAACACUAAAAGCAAGCACUUCAGAUUCAGAGUGGCUAUGAAUGCAAAACUCAUCAUAGACUCUCAGGAACAAAGGGUGUGCCUUCUUCCUGGAGGGGCAGACUACUGACCUAAGGCUAAUGGUUUGAGACACUGGGAAGAAAACCCUGGGCGUCUACUUCCAAAACAUGACCUCUAUGAGCACAACUUGACUCGGAAAUGUGGCGUUGCCAUGAACCAGGAUCCACUUGACAGCAACGGGUUAAUUAAACUUAGGAGUUGCCAGGGGAGAAGCUGAGGGACAAAUCCCGGUUGCGAUCACCUGGGUCAAUGGAGAAUGCAGGUAAGCCAGUCUGGGGCCAAUCUCAGGUGCCUGUGAUUAGGAGACUCCUGGUCUCAGGGGUCUCACCUGGACCACAAGAAGAGCAGUCCAGCCAUGGUGGAAAAGUGCUUCACGCCUUGUAGAAGAGCCAUGCUCUAGUUACCAGGUAUGGACAAAGAAGAGGAAAAGGAACAUUCCUUUGCAAUCACUCCAUGGAAAGAAUUAGGGAAAAUUGCAUUUGUCUGGACCUGCAGACAAAGUCUCCCUUAAGCUUCCUAUGCUCAAAAAUCCACCUCCGAAAGAAGUUCACCACUUAAGCCUCUUGCUCUGGAACGUAGGACCAAAACACCACCGCUUAAACCUGGAAGCAAAAAUGUCCCUCAUUUCCCUGUGCGCCCAACACUGAACAACCAGACUGCUUCAGAGAGAUUGCCAGGCGUUUGAGAUGCACCCCAGCUACCACAAGGUGGAUGAGUUUCAGAAAAGAAUUAUUUGUGCCAUUUGGGAGUCUGUCCACGUGCACUCAUAAUAAAAGACGCCGACGGUCAGACCUGAAGUCCAACUCCCAGAAGAUUUCUUUCUUCAUCGACAAGGAAAAAAGCCCGUGUCACCCAAGCAUCUGACCCAGGGAGCAUCGUUUCCAAGCUCAAGGGGUUGGGGAGCGCCUCUGUCCCUGGUGGCACAAACUGGUCAAACACUGGACAGCUAGCUGAAAGGCUGGAAGUUCCAGCCCACCCAGAGGCACCUCAAGAAAGGUUUGGCUGUCUGAGUCAGAAAGGUCACAGGCUCAAAAGCCCUAUGGGGCAGCUUCACUCUGCACACAGAGGGUCACCGGGGUCAGGACGCACAGCGGCAGCUGCCUCCACCCCCAUGGGGUUCGAGUAGAACCCAAGCACCAGCAUUCACGAAUCGCCUUUGAAGCCUUCGGCCUGCAUG